AGCUCCAAUAGCGUAUAUUAAAGUUGUUGCAGUUAAAAAGCUCGUAGUUGGAUCUCAGGUCCCGGCUCGCGGUUCACUUCGCGGUGCUUACUGCCCGUCCGGACCUACCCGCCGGUUUUCCCUUGGUGCUCUUCACUGAGUGUCUCGGGUGGCCGGAACGUUUACUUUGAAAAAAUUAGAGUGUUCAAAGCAGGCGCUUCGCCUGAAUAAUGGUGCAUGGAAUAAUGGAAUAGGACCUCGGUUCUAUUUUGUUGGUUUUCGGAACUCGAGGUAAUGAUUAAGAGGGACAGACGGGGGCAUUCGUAUUACGGUGUUAGAGGUGAAAUUCUUGGAUCGCCGUAAGACGAACUACUGCGAAAGCAUUUGCCAAGAAUGUUUUCA
rnacentral:rRNA from 1 species